rnacentral:rRNA from 1 species
CACGCAGGUGGUUGUCUAAGACGGACGUGAAAGCUCCUGGCUUAACUGGGAGAGGUCGUUGGUGACUGGAUGACUUGAGGCGAGGAGAGGGGUGUAGAAUUCCCGGUGUAGUGGUGGAAUGCGUAGAGAUCGGGAGGAAUACCAGUGGCGAAAGCGACACCCUGGCCUUGGCCUGACGCUCAGGUGCGAAAGCGUGGGGAGCGAACGG